UAAUACGUAGGGGGCAAGCGUUGUCCGGAUUUAUUGGGCGUAAAGCGCUCGCAGGUGGUCCGUUGCGUCGUGCGUGAAAGACCCCGGCUCAACUGGGGAGUGUCGUGCGAUACGGGCGGACUGGAGGCCAGUAGGGGGAUGCGGAAUUCCGGGUGUAGUGGUGGAAUGCGUAGAGAUCCGGAGGAACACCAGCGGCGAAGGCGGCAUCCUGGACUGGUCCUGACACUCAGGAGCGAAAGCGUGGGGAGCGAUCCGGAUUAGAUACCCGGGUAGUCCACGCUGUAAACGAUGAGUACUAGGUGUCGGGGGUAUCGACCCCCUCGGUGCCGCAGCUAACGCGAUAAGUACUCCGCCUGGGGACUACGGCCGCAAGGCUA
rnacentral:rRNA from 1 species